GAGCAUCGGAGAAAAUGGUCGGUGGUCGAAAUAUUUUCAUCCUUUUAUCCGACAAUCAUCAGGGUAAGUCUUUUUGGUAAAGUCUCUUUUUUUUUAACCCGACUUAUUCUCUGUCUACAAUUGAUCCACGACAUGUAUGACCUGAAGAUCGGCUACACGAAGUUCACCUACAUCCGUAGUGCAUAGAAGAAUAAGGUGGCAGCCGCCGAUGCUAAGAAAGUGGCU
rnacentral:lncRNA from 1 species